AAUUUUAUUCAACUUAAAUUUCGGUAUGUUGUAAAUGCCGUUAAAGAAAAUAGGAUGAAAACAAAUUGUGAGGCAACAGGUUUUGUAAACUUUCUCUGUUUCAUAUGUAACUGCGUUUUGAUGCAAUCAAAGCACACUUAUGCACAUAUUUGCAACUCAGUAAUUUUAACGUGGCAUCACAGCGAAGAUGAUACGUAAAAAACCCCCUUCUAACAUCAUCUCAUAAACAAAGACUGUCGUCAAUCACAAACUGAGUAAUUUUUGCAUUGAAGAAACUAGAAUAAAAAGCUUUUAACUCGUUAUUUCGAAGCACACAAUUAACAUAAUAUAUGUACAUAUAUCUCGAAUUUCAUUUGGUAUUAUUUUACCUAACAUAUUAUACAUAUAUGUAGGAAAACACGCGCAACAGCCACGUUCUUGAUAGCAGCGGUAGUCACAUUUUUUUUAAUUUUCCGUCGUCGAGAGCAUUUACACCUUUAAUGUACAUCUAUUCACACUAUUUUUACUCAAUGGAGAAAAUUAUUGUGGUAAUUUAACACUACCGCAACUUUGUGCUUUACAUUUUCCUUACGUUAUAGUUCAAACAUUUAAACCUAAUUUAAACGUGUAGUUCCAAAAAAGAACCACUACCUCUCGAACAAUUUACUUAUUGCAAUCAAGGCAGCGACGCUAACUUGCACACAGCUACUUAUACACGCAGUAACCCACUUCCAUAAUGAUGGCAACUUACUUAAUUUCUACAACGUGGUUGAUCCUUUAAAUUAUUUUUUUUAUAAAAACCAAGUACUGAAUACACCGAGUAAUCAAUAAAUUCACAAAUACUAUGAUUUUUUAU